CCCCACCAAGACCCCAACCCCUUACACACACCCCCUCUUCCAUCUGCUAUGCUCAGUAAUCGGCACCAGAUUGAGGCGAGGAAUCUCUCCGCACAUGCUGGUGGUUUCUGGCUCGUUGCGUCCUCAGCUUCCCUUUGAGCCGAGGAAUUUCGAUUUUACAUACACAGAGAGGAGAAAUUACCGUCGCAAAGUCGGUCCUGUCUCAGAACGCCCGUCUCACUUUGAAAUAUCCUUCAGAGAGUCUUUGAAUCCACAGAAGAGUACUUUCCAUGAAGUCUUGGGGACCAUCGAAAUUUUUCUUUCAGGCAAAUGUUCACCGUGGCACCCUUCCAUGGAUGUGAUUUUCACCCAGUUUCUUUCUUAUUCUUAAAUUAUAAACACUAAGAUGAGCGUUUUAAGGACUCUCUGCACUAUAAUUUUGGGAGGCCGGACGCUGUAACCCUUUCCAAACUGAAAGAUGUCAAUGAAUGUAUGUUUUUUCCUUUCUUUCUCAGUUAGAUUGGGCCAUGAUGUGUUGCUUUUCACGUUGUUUCACCCUGCUUCGUGUUGUGAAACGAGUUCAAGUGAUUUUGUGAUUUUAGUCAACAGAGGUGGCUGAUCAGGCUCAGGUGUCACGAGUGAAUUUGAACAAUUAGGUUAAUCACAGUUAGUUCAACAAGGUUAAAUAGUCUGUCACCAAACGACCAGACGCAGGAUCAAACCGUGAAAGCGUCGCCAGGUUCCUACAGAAAUCAGAGGUGCAACACACCCUGACACAACACACACAAAGAAACAUUUCAGACGGUUGAAUAAAUAAAACCAAGAACGACAAUAAACCAACCCCAGCUCUGAUUAAAAAUUGAACUGUCUCAUUAUUUGCUCAUCCAUUUUAGAGAUACUGGUUGGAAGAUUACAUGAAUCUAUUUUAUGCAUUUAAAUAACUUCUCUUGUUGAGUUUCCAUGCCUUUUAUAUUUACUGUUCUGUCUUUUUUAUAGUAAUAAUAAUACCACUUAAUCUGCUGAUUAGACAAAAGUUAUAUUAUUUAGAUCAACUACAUGUGAUCUAAAUUGACCAAAUUGUUUACAGUGUAGUACCUGGAAGUGGCCCACAGACCCCACUUUGAAACCCCUGGUUUAGGUGGAAGACCAUUCCUGGGUAGAGUUCCACUUGUGCAAUGUUUUUUUUUUUUUUUUUUUUUUUUUUUCUUCCUGAAAAUAAUAUACAAAGCUUGAGAUAUUGUUUGAAAACCUAACCCUGCUUUUACCUUUACAACUUUCUCCCUGAUGUUCCUGCCAUGUUCCUUCAUGAUGCUGUUUGUUCUCUAGCAAACCUCUGAAGCCUUCACAGACCAGCUGGAUUCACACUGAGAUUAAAUUACACACACUUGAACCUUUAUUUACAAAAAGCUUGCCUCAGAUUUUCAUCUUGUCAUCUGUUUUUCUUUUUUACUUUGAAAAGCACGAAUCAAUUGGAAACCUCAAUAAACCCCACUGGAGGUUGUGGUUGAAAUCCAACCAAAUGUGAAAGCUCCAAGGGGUGUGAAUAUUUUUAUUUUUUUGUUUUUGCAGGCGGCUCUGUAACACCGAAGUAGAGAGAACGCAUUACGGAGCUCGACAGAACCCGACCAACCAGAGCGAGGAAGGAUUUCCCAGCUGGAACAUUUACAUCACAUCAUAUUUGGUGUUUUGACAUGUUGCCCUUUGUUUCCUCUCUCGGAGACCCUCGGCGACCGCCGCACACAGCUUUAACAAGAUGUUGUGACCUCUUAAGCAGUGGCACUUGAAAGUAUUCUUCUUCUGUUCAGUGGUCCACAGAGGCCAAGUUCUUGCCAGGGAUUAUCAAAGUUAACAGGAUUUUAAUGGGCCCACGGAGACCGGUAAAGACCCUACCAGGGCCAGGUAGUGCCGUUCCCCUGCACACACGCACACACACACACACACACCUCUUGCUCCCCUAAUGCAGUCAGGCAGCACUUGCAAGGCAGUGGCUAAAUAAUAAACAGAUGGCUACUACCAGAUACAGCCAGAGAGCCCCCUUUUAGCCCCCUAGUAAAAACCACAAAGGCGGCCCAAAAUCAAGCGACAAGCUAUUAAAGGCGACAUGCAAUUUGCAGGUCAAAAUGUAAUUGUGACCCUCCACUGUAAAAAUAAAAUAAAAUAAAUUUACCUUUUUGGUGUUUCUGAAUCAUUCACAGCUGAUAUAUGGACAAAAGAAGAUCUUUUAGCUAUGAUCGAAAAAACAAACAAACAAGGAAACAGUUGGUGAAGAAGCUACUACCCUAUACAUAGUUAUGGCUCAGUGUUUUCGUUGUAACUCAUUUGUUGUCCUUGUUAACAAAAACUGUUGCAGCUAUUUCUGCAAAAAAGAAAAAA